UGAUUGACGGGGAGCACUACAACGGGUGGAGCCUGCGGUUUAAUUGGACUCAACGCCGGAAAACUCACCGGGGGCGACAGCAAUAUGUAGGUCAAGCUAAAGACUUUACCAGAAUCGCUGAGAGGAGGUGCAUGGCCGUCGUCAGUUCGUACUGUGAAGCAUCCUGUUAAGUCAGGCAACGAGCGAGACCCGUGCCCACUGUUGCCAGCAUGUCCUUCGGGAUGAUGGGUACUCUGUGGGACCGCCGAUGCUAAAUCGGAGGAAGGUGCGGGCUACGGUAGGUCAGUAUGCCCCGAAUCUCCCGGGCUACACGCGGGCUACAAUGACUGGGACAAUGGGCUCCUACCCCGAAAGGGGAUGGUAAUCUCAUAAACCCAGCCUUAGUUCGGAUCGAGGGCUGUAACCCGCCCUCGUGAAGCUGGAAUCCGUAGUAAUCGCGUUUCAACAUAGCGCGGUGAAUACGUCCCUGCUCCUU
rnacentral:rRNA from 1 species